ACCACGCUCUCUCAGUGCAAGAGAUAGUGUUUCGCCAGGGCCAACAUUGUAAUAAGCAAGGGUGAGAUUGUCCUUGAGAAAACCUGCCCGGCCACUCAGUUUCUGUUUAUUAGCAGGUAGCUGAAUCUCCCCAGCAAUCUUCUCUUUCAGACUUGCAAUACUCUCCGAUAAAGACUGGAUUGUGAUCUCCAAAACUUGUCCUUUUAAGUUCCCUUCAUCCACAUUAGGAACGGCAACAGAGAUUCG
rnacentral:misc_RNA from 1 species